AACAACUACGUAAACUCUCGGUCGUUUAUAACACAAAACCGCGUAACAUCCAUCUUUUCUCUCUUCAACCCCUCUGCAAUGCAUCGUUAUUCUCUUCAACCUCUCUUUCUGAUCUCGUUUACAACGUUAAAUUAGCUAUACAUGAGUUUUGACCUUUUAUCUCCAGAUUCUCCUCCUCUUUGAAGAGCCCUCUCUCAAAUUUCUUCAAGCCAGAUCUGCACUUCUUUCCUCACAAUCGUCUCUCUGUUGAAAUCACUGAAGCCUUCAUUCAGACUUUCAACCCUUUUAAUCUCUCUCAAGAUUGAAGCAGAGAGCAAAUUAAAGAAGCUAAGCUGAGUCUUUCUCUGUCGCUCUUGAGGGUUCUUGGAAAAUCAAGAUGGACAUAGAUUGGAGUGACACAUCGUCUUCAUCGUCUAAUAAUUCAGAUGAAGAUUUUGAUGACCUUGUAGAUUGUAUGUGUUUGAAUUUGAUGCAGGAGUAUGAAGAUUCCUUUAAAUCUAAGGUACCAAAAAGAAUUUGGUGUACUGAAUGCACUUAAUUUAUCUGAUGAUGGUGCAGCACAAAUGGGAGCCCUUGGAACUUAUCUGACAAAUCAAAUAUGGGCAUUAUUCAGAGGCAAUGCUAGAUGAAGUUAUUUUUAUAAUUCUCCAAUGUUUUGCUUUGAUUACCUAUUUGUGUAAUUCUCUAAUAUUUUGUUUUGGUUAUGUAUGACUAAAAUUAAUGUUUGUACAACUAAAAGUGCAUAUGACACUUGAAGUAAUUAAUGUAACUCUUUUAUUGUAUUUAAAUUUA